rnacentral:rRNA from 1 species
GACGAACGCUGGCGGCGUGCUUAACACAUGCAAGUCGAACGGAAAGGCCCUGCUUUUGUGGGGUGCUCGAGUGGCGAACGGGUGAGUAACACGUGAGUAACCUGCCCUUGACUUUGGGAUAACUUCAGGAAACUGGGGCUAAUACCGGAUAGGAGCUCCUGCUGCAUGGUGGGGGUUGGAAAGUUUCGGCGGUUGGGGAUGGACUCGCGGCUUAUCAGCUUGUUGGUGGGGUAGUGGCUUACCGAGGCUUUGACGGGUAGCCGGCCUGAGAGGGUGACCGGCCACAUUGGGACUGAGAUACGGCCCAGACUCCUACGGGAGGCAGCAGUGGGGAAUAUUGCACAAUGGGCGGAAGCCUGAUGCAGCAACGCCGCGUGCGGGGUGACGGCCUUCGGGUUGUAAACCGCUUUCGCCUGUGACGAAGCGUGAGUGACGGUAAUGGGUAAAGAAGCACCGGCUAACUACGUG